rnacentral:tRNA from 1 species
CGGGGUGUAGCUCAGGUGGUAUGAGUGCUUGCUUGGGGUGCAAGAGGUCGCUGGUUCGAGUCCAGUCACUCCGA